rnacentral:rRNA from 1 species
CCAGACUCCUACGGGAGGCAGCAGUGGGGAAUAUUGCACAAUGGGCGAAAGCCUGAUGCAGCAACGCCGCGUGAGCGAUGAAGGCCUUCGGGUCGUAAAGCUCUGUCCUCAAGGAAGAAAAUGACGGUACCUGACUAAGAAGCCCCGGCUAACUACGUGCCAGCAGCCGCGGUAAUACGUAGGGGGCAAGCGUUAUCCGGAAUUACUGAGUGUAAAGGGAGCGCAGACGGCAGUGCAAGUCUGGAGUGAAAGCCCGUGGCUUAACUACGGGACUGCUCUGGAAACUGUGCAGCUAGAGUGCAGGAGAGGCAGGCGGAAUUCCUAGUGUAGCGGUGAAAUGCGUAGAUAUUAGGAGGAACACCGGUGGCGAAGGCGGCCUGCUGGACUGUGACUGACGUUGAGGCUCGAAAGCGUGGGGAGCAAACAGGAUUAGAUACCCUCGUAGA